GACGAACGCUGUCGGCGUUCUUAACAUAUGCAAGCCGAACGGAAAGACGCUGCUUUCGUGGGGUACUCGAGUGGCGAACGAGUGAGUAACACGUGAAUAACUUGCCCUUGACUUUGGGAUAACUUCAGGAAACUGGGGCUCAUACCAGAUAGGAGCUACUGGUUGUUGGUGCGUGGUGGUAAGCUUCGGCGGUUGGGGAUGGACUCGCGGCUUAUCAGCUUGUUGGUGGGGUAGUGGCUUACCAAGGCUUUGACGGGUAGCCGGCCUGAGAGGGUGACCGGCCACGUUGGGAAUGAGAUACGGCCCAGACUCCUACGGGAGGCAGCAGUGGGGAAUAUUGCACAAUGGACGGAAGCCUGAUGCAGCAACGCCGCGUGCGGGAUAACGGCCUUCGGGUUGUAAACCGCUUUCGCCUGUGACGAAGCGUGAGUGACGGUAAUGGGUAAAGAAGCACCGGCUAACUACGUG
rnacentral:rRNA from 1 species